AGGUUCCACUGAGAUUUCAACUCAAAUCGCUGGAUUCAGAGCCCAGAAUGCCGACCACUACACCAUGGAACC